GUUUUACCUCUGUCUGUCAGUCCGUCCAUCAGUCAGUCCGUCCGUCAGUCAGUCAGUCAGUCCGUCCCAUGAAACUUUCGUCACAUUUUUCUCAGGAACAACACAUCCACCCUUUCUGUAAUUUGGUAUCAACAUUUAUAUAUGUCAGCCAUACCGUGUGAUGCGUUUUCAGAUUCAUCACUUGACAACUUCCUGUUUACCGAACACUUGUCUGAUUUUACACAUGAUAGCCAAGUUGAAAAUUUUCGUUACAUUUUUCUCAGGAACUACAAUACAAGGAUUUCUGAAAUUUGGUUUCAGGAUUUAUAUAAGUCAGCUAUACCGUGUGAUGCGUUUUCAGAUUCAUCAAUCAACAACUUCCUGUUUACCGAACACUUGUAUGAUUUUACACAUGAUAGCCGAGUUGAAAAUUUUCGUCACAUUUUUCUCAGGAACUGCAAUACAAGGAUUUCUGAAAUUUGGUUUCAGGAUUUAUAUAAGUCAGCUAUACCGUGUAAUGCUUUUUCAGAUUCAUCACUCGACUACUUCCUGUUUACCGAACACUUGUAUGAUUUUACACAUGAUAACCAAGUUAAAAAUUUUCGUCACAUUUUUCUCAGGAACUACAAUACAAGGAUUUCUGAAAUUUGGUUUCAGCAUUUUUAUAAGUCAGCUAUACCGUGUGAUGCGUUUUCAGAUUCAUCACUCAACAACUUCCUGUUUACCGAACACUUGCAUAUUUUUACACUAUUAAUAUUAUCCACUUGCGGCGGGGGUAUCAUCAGUGAGCAGUAGCUCGCAGUUUCACUUGUUGUUUUUAAAAAAU
rnacentral:lncRNA from 1 species